rnacentral:rRNA from 1 species
GACCCCAGGUCAGGCGGGGCUACCCGCUGAGUUUAAGCAUAUCAAUAAGCG